GAUGAACGCUGGCGGCGUGCCUAAUACAUGCAAGUCGAGCGAACAGACGAGGAGCUUGCUCCUCUGACGUUAGCGGCGGACGGGUGAGUAACACGUGGAUAACCUACCUAUAAGACUGGGAUAACUUCGGGAAACCGGAGCUAAUACCGGAUAAUAUAUUGAACCGCAUGGUUCAAUAGUGAAAGACGGUUUUGCUGUCACUUAUAGAUGGAUCCGCGCCGCAUUAGCUAGUUGGUAAGGUAACGGCUUACCAAGGCAACGAUGCGUAGCCGACCUGAGAGGGUGAUCGGCCACACUGGAACUGCGCCACGGUCCAGACUCCUACGGGAGGCAGCAGUAGGGAAUCUUCCGCAAUGGGCGAAAGCCUGACGGAGCAACGCCGCGUGAGUGAUGAAGGUCUUCGGAUCGUAAAACUCUGUUAUUAGGGAAGAACAAAUGUGUAAGUAACUAUGCACGUCUUGACGGUACCUAAUCAGAAAGCCACGGCUAACUACGUG
rnacentral:rRNA from 1 species